UCACGAAGGUGGGUAACCACCACUUCCCUAUUUUGUGAACUACCUGUAACAUCCUUCAAGCCAGUAGCGGAUGUGCAAUUGUCUAUCACAGAAAGACACCGAACAGACAUGUUCCUGCACUACACUCGCUUGGUCUUAAGGAAAAUUCUCAACAGUGUUUUAUUCUGGUGGAGAUUUAUGUUGGUGGAAUCUAGGAACCAUGGAGGAACACAGAGAUGUAGAGCCCCUAGUACAGUAUUCAUUGAAAGUUUGUGAGCAGCCCAAACUGCACUUGACCAGAUUCAAGGUUGAAUCUUUCUCCUACUUAACAAAAGCAGUUGAGUUUCAAGACCCAGCUCCAAGUGCAGCGACAAGACAACUGUGUGAAAGUCUCACAUUCACUUCAGAAUCACAACAGGAGCAGACAGGUCUGGGU